UACGGAGGGUGCGAGCGUUGUUCGGAAUUACUGGGCGUAAAGGGGGCGUAGGCGGUUUGUUAAGUCAAAUGUGAAAGUCCACGGCUUAACUGUGGAAGUGCAUUUGAGACUGGCAGGCUAGAGUUUCGGAAGGGAAAGUGGAAUUCCUGGUGUAGGGGUGAAAUCCGUAGAUAUCAGGAGGAAUACCGGUGGCGAAGGCGACUUUCUGGACGAAUACUGACGCUGAGGCCCGAAAGCGUGGGGAGCAAACAGG
rnacentral:rRNA from 1 species